rnacentral:ncRNA from 1 species
UGAUAGCUAUGAAGCGUGAAGUUGCGGAAAGGCAGGUAAAGCCUGCGGAUCCGGUAUCUCCGUGGAGCGAAUGUCAAGUCUGGAUACUGACGGCAA